CUUCUAUCAACAGAUUCUAGCUGGAGCAAGACUAGUGCACAUUUUUGUUAUAUCUCAAUACUAAUAUUGAAUUUUAAUUUUAGAGUCCAUCUGACAUCUGUUUUUAACCCUGAGAAAAUAGAAGGCAGUGGUGGUAUCGCUGUCUACAGCUUCAUAACAUUUGAUGUAUUUAAGGCAUGGACUAUCCACUCAGGUAUGAUCAGUAUUGACUCUUUGAUUACAUUGGAGGAGGAGAUUCAGUAGAAACGUAUGGAGGAAUCAUCUUUUACUUCAGGCCAAACAGCAGCAGCUGCAAUCAGCAGGACCACUGCAGCUGUAUCACUCUGGAAAGUGUGUAAUCAAGGCAAAAGGAGUGAAGAAAGUGCUGUGAGACAAUGAAAGCUCAGGAGCUGUGAAGUGCUGCUGGUUUAA
rnacentral:lncRNA from 1 species